CCUACGGGAGGCAGCAGUGAGGAAUAUUGGUCAAUGGACGAGAGUCUGAACCAGCCAAGUAGCGUGAAGGAUGACUGCCCUAUGGGUUGUAAACUUCUUUUAUAUGGGAAUAAAACGUUUCACGUGUGGGAUUUUGUAUGUACCAUAUGAAUAAGGAUCGGCUAAUUCCGUGCCAGCAGCCGCGGUAAUACGGAGGAUCCGAGCGUUAUCCGGAUUUAUUGGGUUUAAAGGGAGCGUAGGUGGAUUGUUAAGCCAGUUGUGAAAGUUUACGGCUCAACCGUAAAAUUGCGGUUGAAACUGGCAGUCUUGAGUACGGUAGAGGUGGGCGGAAUUCGUGGUGUAGCGGUGAAAUGCUUAGAUAUCACGAAGAACUCCGAUUGCGAAGGCAGUUCACUGGACCGCAACUGACGCUGAGGCUCGAAGGUGUGGGUAUCGAACAGGAUUAGAUACCCCUGUAGUC
rnacentral:rRNA from 1 species